UAGAGUUUGAUCCUGGCUCAGGACGACGCUGGCGGCGUGCUUAACACAUGCAAGUCGAACGGAAGGCCCUGCUUUGUGGGGUGCUCGAGUGGCGAACGGGUGAGUAACACGUGAGUAACCUGCCCUUGACUUUGGGAUAACUUCAGGAAACUGGGGCUAAUACCGGAUAGGAGCUCCUGCUGCAUGGUGGGGUUGGAAAGUUUCGGCGGUUGGGGAUGGACUCGCGGCUUAUCAGCUUGUUGUGGGGUAGUGGCUUACCAAGGCUUUGACGGGUAGCCGGCCUGAGAGGGUGACCGGCCACGUUGGGACUGAGAUACGGCCCAGACUCCUACGGGAGGCAGCAGUGGGGAAUAUUGCACAAUGGGCGGAAGCCUGAUGCAGCAACGCCGCGUGCGGGAUGACGGCCUUCGGGUUGUAAACCGCUUUCGCCUGUGACGAAGCGUGAGUGACGGUAAUGGGUAAAGAAGCACCGGCUAACUACGUG
rnacentral:rRNA from 1 species